rnacentral:rRNA from 1 species
GGCGGUCUGCUUAACACAUGCAAGUCGAACGGGACUCUUCGGAGUUCAGUGGCGGACGGGUGAGUAACGCGUGAGAAUCUGCCUUCAGGUCGGGACAACCACUGGAAACGGUGGCUAAUACCGGAUAUGCCGCAACGUGAAAGAUUUAUCGCCUGAAGAGGAGCUCGCGUCUGAUUAGCUAGUUGGUGGGGUAAAAGCUCACCAAGGCGACGAUCAGUAGCUGGUCUGAGAGGAUGAUCAGCCACACUGGGACUGAGACACGGCCCAGACUCCUACGGGAGGCAGCAGUGGGGAAUUUCCGCAAUGGGCGAAAGCCUGACGGAGCAAGGCCGCGUGAGGGAGGAAGGCUCUUGGGUUGUAAACCUCUUUCUCAGGGAAGAACAAAAUGACGGUACCUGAGGAAUCAGCCUCGGCUAACUCCGUGCCAGCAGCCGGUCGACGCGGCC